rnacentral:miRNA from 1 species
AAUGUGUAGCAGAAGACAGACU